ensembl:lncRNA
UAAACUGGUUUUGCUGUAUGCUGCAGCAGCACAUCUUGAGGCAUUCAUGGCAAAGCCUAGAGCACCCUGAGAAAUGAGGAAAAAGCAGCACCAGCUGAGAAUCAAUACAUUUUUACUAAGAAGACUAAUGGACAUUUCUUCAGAGACAGCCAAGGACCUAAAUAAUGAGCGUCUUCAACGAAGCAUGUUUAUCUAUGCGUCCUUAAGUCGUAAAGGAAUAUCUAGCUUCCAAAUGCCAAUACUAAAAAAAACUAAAGAAGGAGUCCAGUGGAGGGCCACAAAGAUGAUGAAGGGACUGGAGCAUCUUCUUUACGAGGAAAGGCUGAGGCACCUGGGACACAUUGGCAUGGAGAAGAAAAGGCUGAGAUGUUGCAGUCUCUUUCUAUGGAGAUACUCAAGACUUGUCUGGAUGCCUACCUAUGCAACCUAUUGUGGGGUACCUGCUUUGGCAGAGGAGUUGGACUCCAUGAACUUUUGAGGUCCCUCCCAACCCCUGCAGUUCUGUAAUUCUGCAACAAUAAGAAACAGUCUCCUCCUGGAUGGCUGUUAAAUGAAUCUAAUAAUGAAAGUAACAAAAAAGGUUGUGCAGAAAAUGAGAUACUCAAGGAAAGUGCUAGUUAUGAACAUGAAUGGUCAUACACCACCACAGGAAGGAAAACGGAUGUUCCUGAGUGCUUUAUGCUUUCCUUGAAAGGAUUCCAUGCAUGCAUUUUGUGAUACAAAGAAUAGAUCCUGUUGUGCAUCUUUCUUAAAUAUGUAAGAGCCAAUUGAAAGGUUGAUGUUAUGAUGAUUGGCUAUAAAAAUCCUUUCAAAAAUGCUAUUGCUACAGUUUUAUACUCAGAUAAAAUGCCUGGCAGAACUCUUUAAUUUACAUUAGAGCUUUAAAAGACAAGGUAAAAAAUAAAAAGAGAACUUGUCAAGGCCUGGAAUUUUAAUUUUCUGGAAAAAAUCUGCCAUUGUGAACAUUUUUUUCAUCAAGAAAUUGAAGUCUGCAGCUGGUGAAAAUCUUAUGAAUAGAAUGCCUAUCAUAUCACCUCCUAAUUAAUUUAUUUUGAUAAUUUCAUGUGGUGUGGCAACUUUUAAUUUAUUAUUUUACAAUCCAUUUCCAAUACUUUGAUAUCUUUCUAAUUGGAAAACCAUAAUCCGUCCCAUUUGUUAAAAUAAAAGAAUGUACUGGUCUCAUGACACUAUGGAUUUUUAUUAUUAGAUAAUUGCCAAGAAAGUAAAAUGUUGUAUGUUAUUUGUAGCACUAUCAGUUCUUGUGAGUUGCCUUUUUUUUUUUUGUUGUUCUACAAUUGAAAUUUUUCAACCAUUUCUAAGUAUGAUAGUUAUUCACUUUUACUGAAGAUGAGAAAUUCAAAUAAUGUGGUGCUUUGUAUGCUGUGAAAAGGAACUGUAGGAACAAAGAAAUGAAAAAAAAAAUAGAAGUGAUAAUGAAAAUUACCAACUCUGUGCUUGAUUUUCUAGUACUGACUUGAGCAGAAGAUAUUUGCUCAUCUUCGCAGAUAUCACAGUGUGAUUUUUACAUUUGCCUUUGAAGUUCAGAAAAGUUUUUGUGACAGUUCUAUC